AGAGUUUGAUCAUGGCUCAGAGCGAACGCUGGCGGCGUGCUUAACACAUGCAAGUCGAGUGCGCGCCUGUAGCAAUACAGGUGGCGCACGGCGCACGGGUGCGUAACACGUGGGUAAUCUGCCCUUCGAAGGGGAAUAACUCGCCGAAAGGCGAGCUAAUUCCGCAUAACAUUCCGAGGACUUUGGUUUUCGGACUCAAAGGCGUAAGUCGUCGGAGGAGGAGCCCGCGCACGAUUAGCUAGUUGGUGAGGUAACGGCUCACCAAGGCUAUGAUCGUUAGCUGGUCUGAGAGGAUGGCCAGCCACACUGGAACUGAGACACGGUCCAGACUCCUACGGGAGGCAGCAGUGGGGAAUCUUGCACAAUGGGCGAAAGCCUGAUGCAGCGACGCCGCGUGGGGGAUGAAGCUUCUCGGAGUGUAAACCCCUUUCGACCCGGACGAAUGCCCCGCAAGGGGACUGACGGUACGGGUAUAAGAAGCCCCGGCUAACUACGUGCCAGCAGCCGCGGUAAGACGUAGGGGGCCAGCGUUGCUCGGAAUUACUGGGUGUAAAGGGUUCGUAGGCGGUGUGGCAAGUCGGGAGUGAAAUCUCUGGGCUCAACCCAGAGUCUGCUUCCGAAACUGCUGUGCUUGAGUGUGGGAGAGGCGCGUGGAAUUGCAGGUGUAGCGGUGAAAUGCGUAGAUAUCUGCAGGAACACCCGUGGCGAAAGCGGCGCGCUGGACCACUACUGACGCUGAGGAACGAAAGCUAGGGGAGCAAACAGGAUUAGAUACCCCAGUAGUCC
rnacentral:rRNA from 1 species